AGUGAACGCUGGCGGUAGGCCUAACACAUGCAAGUCGAACGGCAGCACAGUAAGAGCUUGCUCUUACGGGUGGCGAGUGGCGGACGGGUGAGGAAUACAUCGGAAUCUACUUUUUCGUGGGGGAUAACGUAGGGAAACUUACGCUAAUACCGCAUACGACCUACGGGUUAAAGCAGGGGAUCUUCGGACCUUGCGCGAUUGAAUGAGCCGAUGUCGGAUUAGCUAGUUGGCGGGGUAAAGGCCCACCAAGGCGACGAUCCGUAGCUGGUCUGAGAGGAUGAUCAGCCACACUGGAACUGAGACACGGUCCAGACUCCUACGGGAGGCAGCAGUGGGGAAUAUUGGACAAUGGGCGCAAGCCUGAUCCAGCCAUACCGCGUGGGUGAAGAAGGCCUUCGGGUUGUAAAGCCCUUUUGUUGGGGAAGAAAAGCAGCAGGUUAAUACCCCGCUGUUCUGACGGUACCCAAAGAAUAAGCACCGGCUAACUUCGUG
rnacentral:rRNA from 1 species